UAUCCGCUCUCGCCGCUGAAUCAGUUUUUACUUUUUAGUGUUUCCAAUCUCUUCUAUCCGGCUCUCCCCUCUCGCUCCUUGUUCCUUUCUCUCACUCUCAUCUUCGCUUUCCACUCUUCCCUCGCCAUGAAGACUGAAGCCCACCCUCGUUGCCUAGCCUUCCUAUCGGCGCACUCGUCAACGACGCCACCUCGCUGGCUCGCACACCUCCCUCUUCGCCUUCAGAUCUGAUAUUCUGGCCGUUCCCUCAGUCCUCCAGGUAUAUAUGUACACUUUUAUGCCUUUGGAGUUUUGUCUUCUCCGAGAUUUCGUAUACCCCAUCUGUUUGUUCGCCGAUUAUAUUAUGAGAGCGAACUGCUGCUUGAUAUAGAUGAGAUGAGAAGGCGUUUCCGAAUUUUAGACCAUCUUCUUUGUAAUAAGUAUUACUUUGUGAUGCCAAAAGAGCCUCCAGAGAGAAUGCCAUAAAGAUUGGAGGAAGUAAAAUAUUUUGUUAAAGAAAUAUCGUUAAAUUGGGAGAUGUAUAUGGGAAGGCUAGUAUGUAUAGGUACACGCGUGAAGAAAAGGCCACAGAUUGGAAUAUGGUUAUAUAUCAUGUAAAUUCAUUGACAGUGCGGAAAAGUGGCCCAGUUGUACUGAGAUUGUUGAGUUGCAAUGGAAAGCUAUCAAGAUUUUUCCAAAAGCUGCAAAAAAAAAAAAAUGCGUUGGUUUCGAAUCCGGUGCCUAUACUGCUUCCCCCACCACCCGCAUCUACGCCAUCAAUAUCAUCUGCCUGGAGAUGCUUCUAAUUUCGAAUAGACAUGUCCAUUUAGGCUUUUUGGUUAGAAUGAUAAUCUAAAUUUGUAAUUUCGCAUUUUUUCUAGGGCUGAAUUUUACGAGGGUUAGUUUUGUUUAGCUUUAUCUUGGUCGCUUUUCAUUUAAUUUUUGUUGAGUGAUUUCUAUGAACAUGUCUUAUUUUCAGUUAAUUAUUGUUAAUUUUGUUUAGGUAUGGCUUUUGUGCCUAGAGAUAUUUGUCUUCUUAGAGAUUUUGUAUACCCUUUGGUUCGUCACGAACUAAAUUUAUUUUCUCAUUCGUUUGUUCACCAAUUACAUGAUCAGAGCGAACU